rnacentral:tRNA from 1 species
UGGGGUGUGGCUCAGUUAUAGAGCGCUCGCCUAGCAUGUGCAAGGCCCUGGGUUCGAUCCUCAGCACCACAU